UGAGGGAAAGGCGAAAAGAACCCCGGCGAGGGGAGUGAAAAAGAACCUGAAACCGUGUACGUACAAGCAGUGGGAGCCCCACCACCAAAGCAUUCUCUGGUGUUGAAGGCCCUGCAAAGCAGCAUCGCGGUGGCGGAGCGUCGUUUGCGACGCCCAACACACAAAACAAGCGGUGAAUGCUUUGGGGUGGGGUGACUGCGUACCUUUUGUAUAAUGGGUCAGCGACUUAUAUUCUGUAGCAAGGUUAACCGAAUAGGGGAGCCGGAGGGAAACCGAGUCUUAAUUGGGCGUUAAGUUGCAGGGUAUAGACCCGAAACCCGGUGAUCUAGCCAUGGGCAGGUUGAAGGUUGGGUAACACUAAC
rnacentral:rRNA from 1 species